rnacentral:rRNA from 1 species
UGGGGAAUUUUGGACAAUGGGGGAAACCCUGAUCCAGCCAUCCCGCGUGUGCGAUGAAGGCCUUCGGGUUGUAAAGCACUUUUGGCAGGAAAGAAACGUCGCGGGUUAAUACCCCGCGAAACUGACGGUACCUGCAGAAUAAGCACCGGCUAACUACGUGCCAGCAGCCGCGGUAAUACGUAGGGUGCAAGCGUUAAUCGGAAUUACUGGGCGUAAAGCGUGCGCAGGCGGUUCGGAAAGAAAGAUGUGAAAUCCCAGAGCUUAACUUUGGAACUGCAUUUUUAACUACCGGGCUAGAGUGUGUCAGAGGGAGGUGGAAUUCCGCGUGUAGCAGUGAAAUGCGUAGAUAUGCGGAGGAACACCGAUGGCGAAGGCAGCCUCCUGGGAUAACACUGACGCUCAUGCACGAAAGCGUGGGGAGCAAACAGGAUUAGAUACCCUGGUAGUCCACGCCCUAAACGAUGUCAACUAGCUGUUGGGGCCUUCGGGCCUUGGUANCGCAGCUAACGCGUGAAGUUGACCGCCUGGGGAGUACGGUCGCAAGAUUAAAACUCAAAUGAAUUGAC